AGCUGACUGCUGCCAUGACAUGUGCCUCUAACUGGAACUUAGCCUGAGUGAGACAAGAAGCCCCUCCAUCCAUGAGAAUGAGCUGACUGCUGCCGUGGCAUGUGCCUCUAACUGGAACUUAGCCUGAGUGAGACAAAAAGCCCUCCAACCAUGAGAAUGAGCUGACCACUCCCAUGACGCAAGCUUUAGCAGUGAAAUGAAGCCUACUUGCAAAUACUUGAUUGCCCACAAUGACCUGCCUUCGUUUCAAAUAUAAGAGUGAAGUACCAAUAACUACACACACAGUGCAGUAGGCUCAUACUGUAUAUGGAUGUGUACAUUCUAACAUGCCUUGUUAAGUAAUUUGUUUGGCGGCAGAUGCAGUCACAUGUAGAUGCAGUUGUUUGUACCGAACAGGUACAACCUGUUAGUUUAGUUAGUACUUGUUAGUUUGAGUGACUGAGCCUGAUUUCUCCCUGAAUUUACCGUACUGGAAGUCCUUCCACUCAAAUUUGCAUAAAUUCAGAGCACAUGUUUGUUUAUUCUCUUUGUGCUCCACAAACCUAGAAAAAAAUUCCCGAAAGCUUUACGCUGUAUUCAUAGCCCCAAAAGCUCCAUAAAAUGUGAACCAGUAAUGAAGCCCUGUGUCAUUUCAGCCUGCAUGCAGACCUAGUCUCCAUCACGGAAGUUUUACAGGAUGGGAUGUGACACUGGCCAUCAGGGAGUGUUUGGCCAUCCUUGUAGGCUCUUCAUUUGAGGUUCCAGCAUGGUGUGCCAACAACCACGCCAUACACUGUAUGCAACGGGAUAGGAUGACAAAAGCGAAGGAUAAGUAGCCUAUAUGAAGUCCGUGGCCUAUGGCAUGGCCACACGGCUGCGAACAGGUGUGUCACAUGGCAAACGUGCAUUUCCUAACAUACUUCUCUUUCUUUUUGGCAGGGCAUUCAUGAGUGCAGAAGUAAUAUGCAGAUGCAGCUGUUGAAAGUCGUAUUUAUUCUGCCUUUGUAGCUGUACAAAUCUACAUAGGAAUUGGGCAGCUAUUAAGGAAACCAUAAAAAAUUUAUAAUUAGAAAUAGAGAAAGGGUUGCAAAGAUGAAUGUGCACAAAGGAGGUUACGGUGGUGGUGGUGGUGGUGAUGGUGAAAGGGC